UAUCUGCAAUGUACUGCCCCUGGG
rnacentral:misc_RNA from 1 species